rnacentral:rRNA from 1 species
UACGAAGGGUGCAAGCGUUACUCGGAAUCACUGGGCGUAAAGCGUGCGUAGGCGGUUCGUUAAGUCUGCUGUGAAAGCCCUGGGCUCAACCUGGGAACUGCAGUGGAUACUGGCGGACUAGAGUGUGAUGAGAGGAUGGUGGAAUUCCCGGUGUAGCGGUGAAAUGCGUAGAGAUCGGGAGGAACACCAGUGGCGAAGGCGGCCAUCUGGAUCAACACUGACGCUGAGGCACGAAAGCGUGGGGAGCAACAGGAUUAGAUGACC